GACGAACGCUGGCGGCGUGCUUAACACAUGCAAGUCGAACGGAAAGGCCCUGCUUGCAGGGUGCUCGAGUGGCGAACAGGUGAGUAACACGUGGGUGAUCUGCCCCUUACUUUGGGAUAAGCCUGGGAAACUGGGUCUAAUACUGGAUAGGACCAUGCUGUAGGUGGUGUGGUGGAAAGAUUAGUUUCGGUAAGGGAUGAGCUCGCGGCCUAUCAGCUUGUUGGUGGGGUAAUGGCCUACCAAGGCGUCGACGGGUAGCCGGCCUGAGAGGGUGGACGGCCACAUUGGGACUGAGAUACGGCCCAGACUCCUACGGGAGGCAGCAGUGGGGAAUAUUGCACAAUGGGCGCAAGCCUGAUGCAGCGACGCCGCGUGGGGGAUGACGGCCUUCGGGUUGUAAACUCCUUUCAGCCAUGACGAAGCCCUUGUGGUGACGGUAGUGGUAGAAGAAGCACCGGCUAACUACGUGCCAGCAGCCGCGGUAAUACGUAGGGUGCGAGCGUUGUCCGGAAUUACUGGGCGUAAAGAGCUCGUAGGUGGUCUGUCGCGUCAUUUGUGAAAGCCCGGGGCUUAACUCCGGGUUGGCAGGUGAUACGGGCAUGACUGGAGUACUGUAGGGGAGACUGGAAUUCCUGGUGUAGCGGUGAAAUGCGCAGAUAUCAGGAGGAACACCGGUGGCGAAGGCGGGUCUCUGGGCAGUAACUGACGCUGAGGAGCGAAAGCAUGGGUAGCGAACAGG
rnacentral:rRNA from 1 species